AACGAACGCUGGCGGCAUGCCUAACACAUGCAAGUCGAACGAGACCUUCGGGUCUAGUGGCGCACGGGUGCGUAACGCGUGGGAAUCUGCCCUCUGGUACGGAAUAACUCAGGGAAACUUGAGCUAAUACCGUACAAUGACUUCGGUCCAAAGAUUUAUCGCCGGAGGAUGAGCCCGCGUCGGAUUAGCUUGUUGGUGAGGUAAAGGCUCACCAAGGCGACGAUCCGUAGCUGGUCUGAGAGGAUGAUCAGCCACACUGGGACUGAGACACGGCCCAGACUCCUACGGGAGGCAGCAGUGGGGAAUAUUGGACAAUGGGCGCAAGCCUGAUCCAGCAAUGCCGCGUGAGUGAUGAAGGCCCUAGGGUUGUAAAGCUCUUUUACCCGGGAUGAUAAUGACAGUACCGGGAGAAUAAGCCCCGGCUAACUCCGCGCCAGCCGCCGUAAAAC
rnacentral:rRNA from 1 species